rnacentral:rRNA from 1 species
UGACUCACGCAGGAAUCUUACCGGGUCCGGACACACUGAGGAUUGACAGAUACAUUGCAAAAUAUGAUAGCUCUUUCAUAAUUAUGUGAUAGGUGGUGCAUGGCCGUUCUUAGUUCGUGGAGUGAUCUGUCUGCUUAAUUGCGUUGGUAUAUAUAAUGCAUGUUAAUUGCAUUUUUACCAUGCAACGAACGUGACCGCAACCUCUUGUUGCACUAUAGCUUCUCAUGGUGCAAAACUAGAGGGACCGCUGUAUUUAUUUCUUUUAGCCAGAGGAAGGAUGCGGCAAUAACAGGUCUGUGAUGC